rnacentral:rRNA from 1 species
AAUGAACGCUGGCGGCGCGCCUAAUACAUGCAAGUCGAGCGAGAAGACGUAGCAAUACGUUUGUAAAGCGGCGAACGGGUGAGGAAUACAUGGGUAACCUACCCUCGAGUGGGGAAUAACUAGCCGAAAGGUUAGCUAAUACCGCGUACGCUUCUUGGACUUCGGUUCAGGGAGGAAAGCGAUGCCGAGGGUAUCGCGCUCUUGGAUGGGCUCAUGUCCUAUCAGCUUGUUGGGAGGUAACGGCUCACCAAGGCUUCGACGGGUAGCUGGUCUGAGAGGACGAUCAGCCACACUGGCACUGCGACACGGGCCAGACUCCUACGGGAGGCAGCAGUAAGGAAUAUUGCGCAAUGGGCGAAAGCCUGACGCAGCGACGCCGCGGU